rnacentral:tRNA from 1 species
AGCGGAGUGGUGGAAUGGAAGACCAUAUCAGGCUCAUAACCUGAAGAUUGCAAGUUCGACUCUUGCCUCCGUUU